GUACCUGUAUCGUAGGUAGAAUUAUGGUGUAAGAAUAUAAAGGAUAUUAUAUUUAAAAAAAAAAAAAAAAGUAUAGAAAAAGGAAGUUUGUCGAGAAGAAGGAUCCUACGACCCCAUUUUUCCUUGCUAUUCGAGGAAAAAGCAAUCGCCUCGACAAAGGCCGGUCGAUUCGCGCUUCAACGUACAUACAUACAUACAUACAUGCAUGCAUACAUACAUACAUACAUACAUACAUACAUACAUACAUAUAUAUACACGUGAGACCAGUAGUCUACAACAAUGUACCUGCACCUGCACCGGCACUGGCACCUGCACCAUACCACAAGGGAAUACGUGCUGUCCUCUCGAACGAAAACAAAUUACACCCGUUAGAUCGAGUACGCCAAGGAAUCGAAUAUCUUUCGAGACGAUAUCGUAUUGUUGUUCUUCCUGUCCUAAUUGAUCGUAACGACGUUCUCGUGGAGUUUUAGCAAGAAUCGCUUUUGAACGAACGUUUCGAAUCUCGUUGCAGGAGUGAUCAAUGAUCAUUAAACGCGGACAGCCGCGAAGAAACUCUUUCUAAAGAUUUCACAGUUUCACGAAUUAGGGGACUAGAAAAAUGUACUCGAGAGAGGUCCUCUAACGAUUUCUUACUUUUAACAAUACCAAACUAGAGAAUUGCGGCUUGUUUCAAGAUCGAGUACCACUCGUCUUACGGAGAAGCUUGCAAGGACCUCUUACGUAGCUGCAGAAGCUUCGGUAAGUAAUUGUGUAACUGUGUUUUUUUGCUGGGAUGGCAAUUUACUUUAUCUUUUUCUUUUCUUUUUCUUCUUUCUGUCUUUCUUUCUUUUCUUUUCUUUCUUUCUUUCUUUCUUCGAUCAUCCCCCC